rnacentral:rRNA from 1 species
GGCAAGACCACCCGCUGAACAGCAUAAUAAGCGGAGGAAGAGAAACUAACCAGGAUUCCCCUAGUAACGGCGAGCGAACCGGGAAGAGCCCAACGUGAGAAUCUCCAGCUUUCAGCUGGCGAAUUGUAGUCUAUAGAAGCCGUCUUUGUGUCGCCUCGGGUCCAAGUUCCCUGGAAAGGGACGUCGGAGAGGGUGAGAACCCCGUGGGCCCCGAGUGUCGUCACCCCACGAGACGCUCUCGCAGAGUCGGGUUGCUUGGGAAUGCAGCCCAAAGCAGGUGGUAAAUCCCAUCUAAGGCUAAAUAUCGACGGGAGACCGAUAGCGAACAAGU